ensembl:piRNA 21ur-5105 ncRNA
UAUUAUCGUCUUCUGAGCAUA